GGAUUGCCUCAGUAACGGCGAGUGAAGCGGCAACAGCUCAAAUUUGAAAUCUGGCCCCCGGGCCCGAGUUGUAAUUUGCAGAGGGUGCCUCGGGCGCGGCGGCGGUCCAAGUCCCUUGGAACAGGGCGUCAGAGAGGGUGAGAAUCCCGUCCGUGACCAAUCGCCAACCCCGUGUGAGGCCUCUUCGACGAGUCGAGUUGUUUGGGAAUGCAGCUCUAAAUGGGUGGUAAAUUUCAUCUAAAGCUAAAUACUGGCCGGAGACCGAUAGCGCACAAGUAGAGUGAUCGAAAGAUGAAAAGCACUUUGGAAAGAGAGUCAAACAGUACGUGAAAUUGUUGAAAGGGAAGCGCUUGCGACCAGACUUGCCCGCGGGCGAUCAUCCGCCCCUCGGGGCGGUGCACUCGCCCGCGAUCAGGCCAGCAUCGGUUCGGGCGGCCGGACAAAGGGCCCGGGAACGUGGCUCCCCCCGGGGAGUGUUAUAGCCCGGGCCGCCAUGCGGCCAGCCCGGACCGAGGACCGCGCUUCGGCUAGGAUGCUGGCGUAAUGGUCGUCAGCGACCCGUCUUGAAACACGGACCAAGGAGUUGAACAGUCGUGCGAGUGUUUGGGUGGCAAACCCAUGCGCGCAAUGAAAGUGAACGCAGGUGGGAACCCCUCGGGGCGCACCAUCGACCGAUCCUGAUGUCUUCGGAUGGAUUUGAGUACGAGCACCACCGUUCUGACCCGAAAGAUGGUGAACUAUGCCUGAAUAGGGUGAAGCCAGAGGAAACUCUGGUGGAGGCUCGCAGCGGUUCUGACGUGCAAAUCGAUCGUCAAAUUUGGGCAUAGGGGCGAAAGACUAAUCGAACCAUCUAGUAGCUGGUUCCAGCCGAAGUUUCCCUCAGGAUAGCAGUAACGUUUUCAGUUUUAUGAGGUAAAGCGAAUGAUUAGAGGCCUUGGGGUUGAAACAACCUUAACCUAUUCUCAAACUUUAAAUAUGU
rnacentral:rRNA from 1 species